AUUACAGAUGUUUUUGGUUCAGGACGAGAAGGAUUUACUAGAGGAAGAAUUGGUCAGGACAUCAGUCUUUCUUUUUAUAAAAUUCCACUGCAUCUACCUGAACCGUGGGCCAUAUUACAUAAAAUUUGUCAAUUACUCUGAGGGCUGCACAAAGACAUGGUUCAGUACGGGCCGUGGGUUGCCCAUGCCUGACUUAGAUGAUGGUUUGAGUGUGGAAGGAGCUAUUUUUUUGGACAUAAAGUAUGUGCUAUUGUAUCUUAUGAUAUACGAUGUAUCAAUUUUAUUGUUUAUCACAGCAAUUUUUUUUUAAAAAGCAGUUAUAGUGCUACAGGUGUCAGACAUAUAAAUAAAUAACUUCAGUUGCUUACAGAUUGUUGGAAUAAAUUUGAAUUUUUACCAAAGUGGACAAAGUUGGGAUACCUGGAAGAUUCAGAUAGUUGGAAUUCACAUGAAAUGAAUUACACUGUAAAUUAAAUAAAAUCUAUGACAUUGGAUUUACUGGAAUAGUGGAGACAUUCUGCAUGCAGUGGCUGGCCUGAUAUGAAUGGCGGAGGUUGUUGGGUGUUACAAGGAACAUGUUUUAAAAAAUACAGAUCAAGAGCUAAAUUUUCUUCAAGCAAAAACAGUUGCAUUUACCAAGUAUUUCAAAGAUAGAAGUGCAAGAUCAAAGAGUACUUCCUCAAAUGCAAUAGAAGGCACCCAGAAAGAAUCUGAAUAUUGUGCUAUGGAGAAUAGUGUGUUACAGCAAUCAAAGUUGACCCAGUAUACUGAUAAAUUGCUUAAUUCUAGUACAAGUAAGCAAAACUUAGUGCAAAAUGGCAAAAUCUUUAAAAAGUUUAAAUUAGCAUGAGGAGGAAAACAAAAUUGUUGAACAGUAUUGAAGAUGGAGAUGACAAUAGAAAAUAUUCUGGUGGAGAUAGGAAAAAAAGAGACAGUAAAGAUGAGUGAUAAAAUUAGAUGUAAAUAAGGAUCUUCAUACAUUGUGAACCACGAGAAAAUUCCUCAGAAGAUUGUAUCUCCAUCAGGGUAUAACAGUGUGAAAAAUACAAAACACGGUUACCCACAGCUGAAGUGUGGACAUCAAAGGGAUUAUAAGUGCAUUGAAAAGAAGGGUAAAGUAGGACUCCAUUCACUCACAAAAGGCUCAAAUGCAGCAUUUUCCAAAGAAUACAGUAACCUUGUUCAGAGUAUAUUAACCAGUUUAUAAAUAAUAUCAUUCAAACCAAAGUACUGUAUGACCAAGGGUGCAGUUACUCCACCUAUAAUAUCAGAUAAAGAACAGGCAAUUGAGUUUUCACCUUUGAAAGUAGGCAGCUAUUCCUCUUACAGUACAUCAACAUCUAAAGAGGUCACUCAACUUAUCACUGCCAAGAUUAAUUUAACACAUUCUGCUUGGGGGUGUCACCACUUCACAUGAUGGAAAUGCCACAAAGAUCUUGGGCCUUCAUUUGCAUAUAAUUGAGUAUAAUUUGGGUUCAUAUGUAUCAUACACCUGGCAGUGGGGAGCACCACACAUUUAAUAAACCAGACAGUGUGAGUUUCUUGUUGAGCACCAUCAGUGAGGAUUGGUGGGGUGUUGGGAGGACCCUGAGCAGUUGGUUGGCUCUACAAUCAACAUGUGUCCCAUAAGAAUGAAAACUAUCAUAGCAACUAGAUGCACAGUCCCCUUCACUUCUGCAUUUACAGGAGAUCGUCAGGUUUUGUGCAGUGUGACAUCGCUGCGUUUGUUUACAUUCGACUGAAGGACACUCGCAAUAAUAAACAUACUAUGGAAUCAAAGUAAAAAUAUAUAUCAAAACAAAUAUCUCAAUGUAAAGAUUUGUUGAAUGUUAAUAGGUUUAAUAAGAAAUGCUAUUAACAUUCAACAUGGACAUAUUUGUUUUUUAUAUAUAUUGUUUAGUCUGAUUCCCUUGUAUGUUUACUAUUGCGAGUUUCAGUUGAAUGUAAACAAACGCAGCUAUGCCACACUGCACAAAACCUGACAUUCCCCUGUAAAUGCAGAAAUGAAGGGAACUGUGAAUUAGAGAAAAUAUCUCUCAGGAAAUAUAGCCAAAUCCUAUCAUCAAUAAAUUAUAGCUCAAAAUGGCAUCAUAUAUUUAAAUAAGUCUUAAAGAUAUAAUCCAAGUAUUAGUAUGCAAACAAAUCUUAAUUUCCUCUUUUGUCAGAAAACUUUAGAGAGUCUCAGAACUAUUGUUAGGUAAUUGAUAGGGUAACAUUUUAUGUAUGGCAAGAAGAAUAAUGCAUGUGUCAAUACAGUAUUGUUUUACUAUGGUUUAGAAAGAGGCAGUCACUAGUUACUCAUCUAUCCAUUCCACUUGGGAUUAACUUCUAAAUAAUCUUUUAAGAUGACAUAAAUUACUCAACUUAUGCAUUAAAAUAUUAUAAGAUUUAUUGCUGAGAUCAGCCUUCAUUACAUAAAAUUACAUGCUGCAUUUAUCUAUCAAUUGAUUUGAUCUGAAUUUUUGGGUUUUCUGUCUACCUAUUGUUUAAAGAACAUAAGAACCAACUUAUAUUUUGUAAAGGUUGCAAUUCUAAACAUAUUGUGAAUUAUCUGAGAAAUUUGAAAAUAAAGAAACAAAAAACUAAAUAAAACUUUAAAUAUACCUGUAACUCACUCAUAAAGCAGCUGCAUACACAGCCCUUAACUGUCAAAUGUUUAAUUUUAGAUAUGUGCUGUACAUAUAUAACUAUACUGUGCUGUACUUGUUUUUGUAGUACAGUAUUAUUAAUCUUAUUUAUUAAGUUAUUUAGUUUUAUUUCAGUUAUACACAAUAUAUAUUACAGUACAGUACGUGUAGUUUAUAAUUAUUUUACAGUAGUGUGUUUUAUUUGGUGCUUUGUGACAUACUACAGCUUUUUAUAAUAACUUUAAAGUUAAUUGAAAAUUUCAGUUAUCCUCUUGUCCCAAGUAUUUCAGAUUUUUUAAGUGUAAUUUGUAGGGAUUGAAUAAGAAAAUUAGUUCCCGUAAACAGCUUUUAUCUCAUUGAUAUUUAGGAUAAGACUUAUAAUUCAUAAUUUCUGCAAAUAUGUGUCAUAUUUAUGGCUCCUGUGUGGUCUAGAAAUUGGUCCAUCAACCAUGUGAAAUGUCAUUUCAGCUAAUAACCCUUUAUUGGUGGGUGUAUUUAUGUGCGUUGUCCAGAGCAAAUCGUGUGAGAUAAUGUUGUUCAAACACUGUACAUGUAGAAUGUGCCCUAAUUGAGAUUUUCUUUUCUUCUUUUUGCACCAUUAGAAAGCUGAAUAUUUAUUCUACAAAUUCAUAUUUAGUGAAUAAAUACGAAAAAUUAUAAUUUCUUGAAAUCAUGAGUUGAACUGGGGAGGUGAGUGGGUGGUGUCUAGAACCACCAGAGUUAUCAUAGUAACCAGACAACAACACAGCCAUGGCACAAAAAUCCUAAACAUCAUAAUUAUGAUGUCUGUUGCCCUUUAAGGGUUAAUGAAAUUUAGAGGUACCUGUCCUGAAAGUUUGUGUACUGCAUGAGUCGAGUAAGAAUAGGUACAGGAGAGGGUAAAGAAAUAUACAAUACUGUAUAUCAUUGGUUACUGGACCUUUUGGCUUAAAGAUUUUGGUCUGGCAGAUUAUAUCAUUAAUUUUGUGUUUUGUACAGUACAAUAAAACCUCUAAAAUUCGUAUACUGUACAUCUAAAAUUUGAAUAGCAUAUAUGGUCAAAAUUUUAGGUUUUGAAUUUGAAAAUAUUGCCAUAAUAAUUCAAGCUUUCAAAUAUCAUCAUAAUGCUGAGCACAACAGUGAAGGUGGAUGGAGAUGGAGUGUUGUACAGUACAGUAUUUGAAGACUGUACUGGAGACUGUCAGGAUUACAUGGAGACCCCUGUAGCUAUAAUGUUCCAAAUAUAUUAUAAUAAAUGUUGUUGAAUAUAAAUACAGUAAUACUUUUAAUUUAUUAUUCCUAUUGCUUAUUGACAGUUUUUAGAUAUGUAAAUAAUUUUUGUAGCAUGUUUUGAUACAACAAUUUGCUCUGGCGCUUCCAUACAUCCAAAAUUCGUAUACUUCAUGGACCCAUGCAAUUCGAAUUUUUGAGGCUGCACUGUAUAUUGAUUUUUUGUAAGCAUUUGUAUACUGUACUGUACAGUACUCUGAUAAAUGUAUUUUUUUUAAUUUGU